rnacentral:rRNA from 1 species
GACGAACGCUGGCGGCGUACUAACACAUGCAAGUCGAACGAUGAAGCUGGAGCUUGCUCCGGUGGAUUAGUGGCGAACGGGUGAGUAACACGUGAGCAAUCUGCCCUUGACUCUGGGAUAACUGCGGGAAACUGUAGCUAAUACCGGAUACGAGACCUGAAGGCAUCUUCGGGUCUGGAAAGAAUUUCGGUCAAGGAUGAGCUCGCGGCCUAUCAGCUUGUUGGUGAGGUAAUGGCUCACCAAGGCGACGACGGGUAGCCGGCCUGAGAGGGUGACCGGCCACACUGGGACUGAGACACGGUCCAGACUCCUACGGGAGGCAGCAGUAGGGAAUUUUCCACAAUGGACGAAAGUCUGAUGGAGCAACGCCGCGUGCAGGAUGACAGCCUUCGGGUCGUAAACUGCUUUUAUGAGUGAAGAUUAUGACAGUAACUCAAGAAUAAGGGACGGCUAACUACGUGCCAGCCGCCGCCGUAA